CUACGUGUGAACCAUUCAUGACUGAGGAGAGCUUGGAUGAGAUAUCACAGCUUCAGUUAGAAUUUGUGUCUUUGACAAUGGAAAAUACUACUCGUGUUCAUCUGGAUGAUUGAAGUUUUUGCGACAUUUAAUUGAGAAAUUGGGAGAGCUACUAGUAUUGACUUAAUGUUGGUUUCCACUUUCCACUUGUGGAGUUGCGGUUGGUUGGUUCUUAU